rnacentral:siRNA from 1 species
ACCGGUGGUCCAUCAUUGAGGUC